ensembl:snRNA U6 U6 spliceosomal RNA
GUGCUUGCUUUGGGAGUACAUAUUUUAAAAUUGGAACAAUACAGAGAUUAGCAUGUCACCUAAGCAAGGAUGAUAAGCAAAUUCUUGAAGCAUUUCAUAAAAAA